rnacentral:rRNA from 1 species
CCUACGGGUGGCAGCAGUCGAGAAUCAUUCACAAUGGGGGAAACCCUGAUGGUGCGACGCCGCGUGGGGGAAUGAAGGUCUUCGGAUUGUAAACCCCUGUCAUGUGGGAGCAAAUUAAAAAGAUAGUACCCCAAGAGGAAGAGACGGCUAACUCUGUGCCAGCAGCCGCGGUAAUACAGAGGUCUCAAGCGUUGUUCGGAAUCACUGGGCGUAAAGCGUGCGUAGGCUGUUUCGUAAGUCGUGUGUGAAAGGCGCGGGCUCAACCCGCGGACGGCACAUGAUACUGCGAGACUAGAGUAAUGGAGGGGGAACCGGAAUUCUCGGUGUAGCAGUGAAAUGCGUAGAUAUCGAGAGGAACACUCGUGGCGAAGGCGGGUUCCUGGACAUUAACUGACGCUGAGGCACGAAGGCCAGGGGAGCGAAAGGGAUUAGAUACCCGUGUAGUC